AUUGAACGCUGGCGGAAUGCUUUACACACGCAAGUCGAGCGGCAGCACGGGGGCAACCCUGGUGGCGAGCGGCGAACGGGUGAGUAAUACAUCGGAACAUGCCCAGUCGUGGGGAUAAAACUUCGAAAGAAGUGCAAAUACCGCAUACGUCCUGAGGGCGAAAGCGGGGGAUCUUCGGACCUCGCGCGAUUGGGGUGGGCGAUGUCAGAUUAGCUAGUUGGUGGGGUAAAGGCCUACCAAGGCAACGAUCUGUAGCUGGUCUGAGAGGAUGACCAGCCACACUGGGACUGAGACACGGCCCAGACUCCUACGGGAGGCAGCAGUGGGGAAUUUUGGACAAUAGGGGCAACCCUGAUCCAGCCAUGCCGCGUGAGUGAAGAAGGCCUUCGGGUUGUAAAGCUCUUUCGGCGGGGAAGAAAUAGCAACGGCUAAUAUCCGUUGUUGAUGACGGUACCCGCAUAAGAAGCACCGGCUAACUACGUGCCAGCAGCCGCGGUAAAAC
rnacentral:rRNA from 1 species